rnacentral:rRNA from 1 species
AUUGAACGCUGGCGGCAUGCUUUACACAUGCAAGUCGAACGGCAGCGCGGGGCAACCUGGCGGCGAGUGGCGAACGGGUGAGUAAUACAUCGGAACGUACCCAGAAGUGGGGGAUAACGUAGCGAAAGUUACGCUAAUACCGCAUACGUUCUACGGAAGAAAGUGGGGGAUCGCAAGACCUCAUGCUUUUGGAGCGGCCGAUGUCUGAUUAGCUAGUUGGUGAGGUAAAGGCUCACCAAGGCGACGAUCAGUAGCUGGUCUGAGAGGACGACCAGCCACACUGGGACUGAGACACGGCCGAGACUCCUACGGGAGGCAGCAGUGGGGAAUUUUGGACAAUGGGCGCAAGCCUGAUCCAGCAAUGCCGCGUGAGUGAAGAAGGCCUUCGGGUUGUAAAGCUCUUUUGUCAGGGAAGAAACGGCUGGUGUUAAUACCUCCGGCUAAUGACGGUACCUGAAGAAUAAGCACCGGCUAACUACGUGCCAGCCGCCGCUGUAAAAC